CCAGCCACCGCGGUCACACGAUUGACCCUAGCUAAUAGAGAUCGGCGUAGAGGGUGUUUAAGAUCUGACACAAUAAAGCUAAACUCCAUCUAAACUGUAAAACCCUAGCUGAUGUAAAAUAAACUACGAAAGUGGCUUUAAAGCUUCUGAACACACAAUAGCCAAGACCCAAACUGGGAUUAGACACCCCACUAUGCUUGGCCCUAAACCUCAGUAGUUAAACAACAAAACUACUCGCCAGAAUACUACGAGCAACAGCUUAAAACUCAAAGGACUUGACGGUGCUUUACACCCCCCUAGAGGAGCCUGUUCCAUAAUCGAUAAACCCCGAUUCACCCCACCCUCUCUUGCUCAGCCUAUAUACCGCCAUCUUCAGCAAACCCUGAUAAAGAUUACAAAGUGAGCGCAAACGCCUCCCCGCAAAAACGUUAGGUC
rnacentral:rRNA from 1 species